AAAAAAAAGCCUUGUGCAAGGCAAAGCACAAUUAAAUGGUCAGAAAGAAGAACAAUAAUUUCCCUGAUCUUUUUUUUGUUUUCGUUUGGUUUGGUCUGUUUUUUUUUUUUUUAAUCGCCAGCAGGUAAAAACCUCAACUUUAUGUCUCAUUUGAACUACAGAGGCUCUUCAGCUAAAUGAAGAGUCGGCUUAAUGGUUGAUGUGAAACCAUUUAAAUAGCGUUAGGUAAAGUCAUUUGUUCCUUUUGCAUCUCUAUCUUCAGUCUGAAAUGGGCUUAACCUUUGAUCCUAAUCCCUGUGUCACUCGGCUUCAGCUCUGGUCUCAGAAAGUAAAAGUAUCAGUGCUGUGUGUAAGAGGGAAAUAAAAUCUCUGUUCUCUAGAGAAGAAUAUAGAGUUAUUCUGCUACUGACAAUAGCAGACAUAAAACCACGACACAGAUGGUGCAUGAAAAAUGUUUUCUUGGAGAAGCUCUUGAAGGACUGCAGGAACCAGGUGUACAUACAGGAUUUGAGGUGCCUCUAACAUCUCUUGAAGAACUCCAUGAGUUGGCACCAGAAACAUCUUGGAUCCUCUGGAGACUGGAGUGAAGAAUAGCAGCGUCCAGAGUUCAUUCCUUCAUAUGCUGAUGUGACUCUUCCAGAUCAAGCUCAUUCCUACAUGCUAGGAAAAUCAUCUCUACUGUCUUGGUUGCCUAUGUACUGAGUUUCAGUCUGCAGAGGUCUUGUUGCAACAGAUUUUAAGGGGCCUGAGCUAAUAUCCCACCAAGCAAUUGAAACCACUCCUCUCAACUUGAACAUGCAUCGGAUAUGGUCAUGUCAAUCAACUGUCCAUCAGCAUUAUCUUUAUCGUGUUUAUCAUUCAUUCCACUGUCAGAAUGUGACUGCCUGUCCCUGCAAAAAGAAGCAGAGCCAGCAGCUUCAGUGGGGAAGUGAAGAAGCAGCCUGUAUUUGGCCUGCAUUUACAUCCAUCACGGUUCCUCACCUGGAAUGAGCAACUUUUCCAUUUUUAAUUAUGAAAAUAUAUGUAUAUUAUUUAAAUGUGUUGCCCUGUCCCAGUUUUCUUGCUUCAGCACACAAAGGAUAGAUUGGUCUAUAGAGAGGCAGUAUUCAAUAAUCUGGGUAAAGGAGAAGGGAGAAAUGCAGUAACGUUGGUACUGAAAUUGUGUGCAAAUUAAACAAAAAUAAAUAAUUUGUUAAGAUAUUGUACUAUGAUGGAAGAAGUCGUAAGAGAGAAUGAGGUCAUACAUGAAAUGAAAAACAUGUGGGUAUGUUUGUGUUUCAAGUGUCGUACUCUUGAGGUACAAUUCUGAUAAUCCUCCAGAGGAAGACUGAGGGGCCAGAGCCAAGCUUCUGAAACCUGAACACCAUCAGACGUUAACUUUACGGUGGGUUGAACCAGAAACCCACAUCCCAAGCUUCAUCCCAACACAUCUCUGGGACCCAGGUCUCUUUCUAAACUUUCUGCUUCUUAUUUGAAACUUUUACAUUUCUGAAACUUUGACUUCACUUUCUUUCUUUUCCCUGUUGUUCUGUAAAGAGGAACUGCAUAAUUUCAUGAUCACUGAACACUUGUGUUGCUGCUCAGGCAUGGGCAGUUACAAAGGUAAAGCUUUCAUGUUAUAAGCUGGUAUUUCCCUGGGGAGAGAAGAAAGUAUGUUGCCUGUUUGAUGCAAUUUUAUACAUUUUGUUUGCACUCAUUAGAGUCUAAUGGGUAUCAGAUUCUUAUUUCUCUUUAAUAUGAUUUCUCUUGUAUCACCUGUGAUCAUACCAUGAAAUCCCCUGCCCAGGGAAAUGGGGGAAUCACUGUUGCUGGAGGUUUUCAAGAAAAGGGUAUAUGUCACACUGAGGGACGUGAUUUAGUGGGCAUGAUAGUGAUGGGUUGAUGGUUGGACUAGGUGAUCCUAGUGGUCUCUUCCAGCCUUACUGAUUCUAUGAUUCCAUCAUUCAUAAAAGACUUCCUUGUUGCACAGAAAUUGUUGGAUUUCUCCCAGGGAUGAGGAAGGACAGGAAUUUCUAAAAUUCAUGAUAGCAAAAAGGGGUUUGAAACCAUAAUUCAUAUGUCCAGUAGGUUCAGAAAUUAUUUCUAAGCCUAUGAAUGUAUCUCUGACUGUUACAGUGUCUUAACAUGUUAGGUAGGGCAAUCUGACUUUUAAUACCAUGUCACCAUUUUAAAUGAAUACAAAUCACAUCAGAAAUUACCACCAGCUCCCUGCAUCUAUCAGUGCCAGAUUGCCAAAGCAAGCCCAAGAGAAGACAGAGCCCUCCUGAGCCCCAACCAACAUUGCUUAUGUCAUUUCACACCACGCUUCCCAAUGUCAUGUGUACCCCCGGGCAUUCUGCACUCUUCAUGAUGACAACUGAAAGCUUUCAUUGCUUCCAGUGGGAGUGGGCUCUGAUCCCACUCCUAUAAAAUGCAGUUGGUCGCCAUAGAUGGACUACUGGUCUGAACCGGUAUACCAAAUCCCACGUUAGCUUAAAAAACAUUAAAAUGAUAACUUCAUCUCGAGUUACUUUCCUAUUCAUCUAUAGAAUUUCUCAAUUAUGUAUGACUAAUUUUGCACAAAGUCAUUAUUUGGAGCAAUUUGUCUAAGUAUGAGAGGCAACACCUUCAACCUUCCUGCAUGGUGGGUGGGGAAAAUGUCAUAAUCAGUUCUGCUUUGGCAUGAGUUAUUAAGCGGUCACAGGAGU